GAGAGCCAGCUGCUACGGAAAGCGGGCACGGCUGGUUCGGAGGGGGGCCGUCGGAAAAGGGCCAGGUCGACUGGCACCUCGUCGGCGGCCUACCCUAC
rfam:Frankia symbiont of Datisca glomerata, complete genome.